rnacentral:rRNA from 1 species
UACGUAGGGUGCAAGCGUUAAUCGGAAUUACUGGGCGUAAAGCGUGCGCAGGCGGUGAUGUAAGACAGGUGUGAAAUCCCCGGGCUCAACCUGGGAACUGCAUCUGUGACUGCAUUGCUGGAGUACGGCAGAGGGGGAUGGAAUUCCGCGUGUAGCAGUGAAAUGCGUAGAUAUGCGGAGGAACACCGAUGGCGAAGGCAAUCCCCUGGGCCUGUACUGACGCUCAUGCACGAAAGCGUGGGGAGCAAACAGG